GCAGAAAGAUCGUAGCUGAGCAGUGUGGCAGGGGAGGAGGGAAAAUGAGGACCUGAAGUGCCAGCAGCAGCCACACAUGUACAGUGACUGGGGUGCUGCUGACUGUAUCACUGACAACUGUAUCGCCCUGUGUAACCUCCUUUGCCAGGCCAGUGGUGAUCUGCAGGUGAAGGUGCAAUGGGGCCUUCUCACCCAGAAGUGGAAACAUCUAUGCAAAAGGAAUCACUUAACAAAAAGGAUUUAUUCUUUGGGAAAGUUUGGAAACUAGACGAAAAUAGAAAUAAACAUAAACAUUCAGUAUAACACCUGGAAUACUUCAUCAAUUACUUAAGAAAAGGAUUUUGGACAUGAUCCUUAGAAUUUCAAGGAAUACCGCCAACUGGCUACUGAUGAAGGACUGAGGUUUGAAACGCGUUUAGCGAUGGUAUGAUUGUCUCUCUCCACUACUGCUGAACCCUGGUACCGAUACUGCUGGACUGAACACACUAUCCGGAAGUGUGUUUCUGCUUACCCUUGGACGAUCUGGGGACCAUCAGGAGUCGGCACCAGUUGUUUCUACCAUGUGGAUUGUGUUAAUGCAUUACAUUAACCUAUGUUUGUAAGUGCACUUCAGUAUUAAAGCUGCUAUUGUUUUUAUCUAUCUGCACUAUUUUGCACUUUUUUAUCUUUUAUGGUAAACCACAACGAGCUGAACAUCUUGAAAAGGUCUCUUGCUGUAUUGCCUGUGUGGAUAAUCUAACACGCCUUUAAAAAGGAUUCGUUUGUAAGUGGACAUCGUGCAAUAAAGACAUAUUUUAAUUAA